UAUCUUUGCAAAAAUUUUGGUUUCCAGUGUAUUGGAAUGAAAAGGGAAUUGGGUGAGACCCCCAAACUGUCCCCGCAACUGUAAAUCGCAACCGAAAUUUCUACGAAAAACCACUGUGCAAACGGGAAGGUGUAGAAAAGCGAAAGUCAGGAGACCUGCCAAAAUCAUAAUAAAAAA
rnacentral:ncRNA from 2 species